rnacentral:rRNA from 1 species
UGGGGAAUAUUGCACAAUGGAGGGGACUCUGAUGCAGCGACGCCGCGUGAACGAAGAAGGCUUUCGAGUCGUAAAGUUCUUUUAUAUGGGAAGAUAAUGACGGUACCAUAAGGAGAAGCCCCGGCUAACUACGUGCCAGCAGCCGCGGUAAUACGUAGGGGGCUAGCGUUGUCCGGAAUCACUGGGCGUAAAGGGUUCGCAGGCGGAAAUGCAAGUCAGGUGUAAAAGGCAGUAGCUUAACUACUGAAAGCAUUUGAAACUGCAUAUCUUGAGAAGAGUAGAGGUAAGUGGAAUUUUUAGUGUAGCGGUGAAAUGCGUAGAUAUUAAAAAGAAUACCGGUGGUGAAGGCGACUUACUGGGCUCAUUCUGACGCUGAGGAACGAAAGCGUGGGUAGCAAACAGG